AUGGAGGACUGGGAGAAUGAUGAUUUUCAACCAAUCGCACCUGUUGUGAAAGCCCAACCUCUUAAAAGUAACUGGGAAGAUGAAGAUGUGGAUGAAGAUGAUGUCAAAGAAUCAUGGGAAGAGGAGGAAGAGAAACCUAAACCUGUAGAAAAGCCUGCUCCAAAACCUAGUGCUAAAGCUGCUGUGAAAAAAGGCAAACAGCCCUCAACGAGUACUGAAGUAGUGGAAGAUGAUGUUCUUGAUGAUCCUAUUUCAGAGAAGCUUCGCCAACAAAGGCUAGUGGAAGAAGCUGACUUCAAGGCAACAGCAGAGCUUUUUGCAAAGAAGGACGGCAGUGAAAAGUCACUAGAGACUUUCAUCCCGAAGUCUGAGAGCGACUUUGCGGAAUAUGCUGAGCUUAUCGCAAACAAAAUUCGCCCCUAUGAGAAAAGCUUUCACUACAUGGGUCUACUUAAGAAUGUCAUGAGACUUUCCAUGACACCGUUAAAAGGUGCGGAUGCGAAAGAAAUAUCCUCCUCGGUCACGGCAAUUGCCAAUGAAAAGAUCAAGGCUGAGAAAGAAGCUGCAGCAGGCAAAAAGAAAGGAGGAGCAAAAAAGAAGCAGCUCCAUAUAGAGAAAGGAGAGGAGGACUUUGUUGCCGGACCGGGUGCAUCUUUUGAUGAUCCCGACGAGUUCGACUUCAUGUGA
rnacentral:rRNA from 1 species